UACGAGGGGGGGCAAGCGUUGUUCGGAAUUACUGGGCGUAAAGGGCGCGCAGGCGGCCUUAGAAGUCAGAUGUGAAAGCCCCGGGCUCAACCUGGGAAUGGCAUUUGAUACUCUGAGGCUGGAGUACGGGAGAGGAGAGUGGAAUUCCCAGUGUAGAGGUGAAAUUCGUAGAUAUUGGGAAGAACACCGGUGGCGAAGGCGGCUCUCUGGACCGUAACUGACGCUGAGGCGCGAAAGCGUGGGGAGCAAACAGG
rnacentral:rRNA from 1 species